rnacentral:tRNA from 1 species
UGGCCUGUAGUGAAGCGGUAUCACACCGGAUUGUUAAUCCGGAAUCCAUGGUUCGAUCCCAUGUUGGCCAGCCA